UACGUAGGGUGCAAGCGUUAAUCGGAAUUACUGGGCGUAAAGCGUGCGCAGGCGGUUAUGCAAGACAGAGGUGAAAUCCCCGGGCUCAACCUGGGAACUGCCUUUGUGACUGCAUAGCUAGAGUACGGUAGAGGGGGGAUGGAAUUCCGCGUGUAGCAGUGAAAUGCGUAGAUAUUCGCAAGAACACCAGUGGCGAAGGCGGCGUCUGGGCCCGGUCACUGACGCUGAGGAGCGAAAGCGUGGGAGCAAACAGG
rnacentral:rRNA from 1 species